rnacentral:rRNA from 1 species
GACGAACGCUGGCGGCGUGCCUAAUACAUGCAAGUCGAGCGGACGAUUCGAAAGCUUGCUUUUGAAUCGUUAGCGGCGGACGGGUGAGUAACACGUGGGCAACCUGCCCUGUAGACGGGGAUAACACCGAGAAAUCGGUGCUAAUACCGGAUAACACGAAAUGUCGCAUGACGUUUCGUUGAAAGGCGGCGCAAGCUGCCGGUACAGGAUGGGCCCGCGGCGCAUUAGAUAGUUGGUGAGGUAACGGCUCGCCAAGGCGACGAUGCGUAGCCGACCUGAGAGGGUGAUCGGCCACACUGGGACUGAGACACGGCCCUGACUCCUACGGGAGGCAGCAGUAGGGAAUCUUCCGCAAUGGACGAAAGUCUGACGGAGCAACGCCGCGUGAGCGAAGAAGGCCUUCGGGUCGUAAAGCUCUGUUGUUAGGGAAGAACAAGUAACGUAGUAACUGACGUUACUAUGACGGUACCUAACGAGAAAGCCACGGCUAACUACGUG